rnacentral:rRNA from 1 species
UGGGGAAUAUUGGACAAUGGGCGAAAGCCUGAUCCAGCAAUACCGCGUGUGUGAAGAAGGCCUUCGGGUUGUAAAGCACUUUAAGUUGGGAAGAAAAAACUUUACCUAAUACGUGAAGUCUUGACGGUACCGACAGAAUAAGCACCGGCUAACUCUGUGCCAGCAGCCGCGGUAAUACAGAGGGUGCUAGCGUUAAUCGGAUUUACUGGGCGUAAAGCGUGCGUAGGUGGUUUGAUAAGACGGUUGUGAAAGCCCCGGGCUCAACCUGGGAAUUGCGGCCGAUACUGUCAGACUCGAAAACGGUAGAGGGAGGUGGAACUCCAGGUGUAGCGGUGAAAUGCGUAGAUAUCUGGAAGAACAUCGAUGGCGAAGGCAGCCUCCUGGGCCUGUUUUGGCACUGAGGCACGAAAGCGUGGGUAGCAAACA